rnacentral:rRNA from 2 species
UACGUAGGGGCCAAGCGUUGUCCGGAUUUAUUGGGCGUAAAGAGCUCGUAGGCGGUUCGGCAAGUCGAAUGUGAAAUCUCCACGCUCAACGUGGAGGGGUCAUUCGAUACUGCCGUGACUUGAGUACGGUAGGGGAGUGUGGAAUUCCCGGUGUAGCGGUGAAAUGCGCAGAGAUCGGGAGGAACACCCGUAGCGAAGGCGGCACUCUGGGCCGAUACUGACGCUGAGGAGCGAAAGCGUGGGGAGCGAACAGG